rnacentral:rRNA from 1 species
CCUACGGGUGGCUGCAGUGGGGAAUAUUGGGCAAUGGAGGAAACCCUGACCCAGCAACGCCGCGUGAAUGAUGAAGGCCUUCGGAUUGUAAAGUUCUUUUCUAAGGGAAGAAGAAAGUGACGGUACUUUAGGAAUAAGCCUCGGCUAACUACGUGCCAGCAGCCGCGGUAAUCCGUAGGAGGCAAGCGUUAUCCGGAAUGACUGGGCGUAAAGGGUGCGUAGGUGGGUUGAUAAGUUGGUAGCGUAACUCCGAGGCUCAACCUCGGCACUACUACCGAAACUGUCGGACUUGAGUGCAGGAGAGGCAAGCGGAAUUCCUAGUGUAGCGGUGGAAUGCGUAGAUAUUAGGAGGAACACCAGUGGCGAAGGCGGGUUGCUGGACUGUAACUGACACUGAGGCACGAAAGCGUGGGGAGCAAACAGGAUUAGAUACCCCAGUAGUC